GGAAUCUUGGACAAUGGGCGAAAGCCUGAUCCAGCGACGCCGCGUGACUGAUGAAGCCUUUCGGGGUGUAAAAGUCUUUCGGCAGGGACAAUUAUGAUGGUACCCGCACAAGCAGCUGCGGCUAACUACGUGCCAGCAGCCGCGGUAAUACGUAGGCAGCAAGCGUUGUUCGGAAUUACUGGGCGUAAAGCGAGUGUAGGCGGCUCACCAAGUCUGUUGUGAAAUCUCCCGGCUCAACUGGGAGGGUGCGGCGGAAACUGGUGGACUAGAGUACGAGAUGGGAGAGUGGAAUUCCUGGUGUAGCGGUGAAAUGCGUAGAUAUCAGGAGGAACACCGGUGGUGAAGACGGCUCUCUGGAUCGUGACUGACGCUGAGACUCGAAAGCGUGGGGAGCAA
rnacentral:rRNA from 1 species